rnacentral:rRNA from 1 species
CCUACGGGUGGCAGCAGUCGAGAAUCAUUCGCAAUGGGGGAAACCCUGAUGGUGCGACGCCGCGUGGGGGAAUGAAGGUCUUCGGAUUGUAGACCCCUGUCAUGUGGGAGCAAAUUAAAAAGAUAGUACCACAAGAGGAAGAGACGGCUAACUCUGUGCCAGCAGCAACGGUAAUACAGAGGUCUCAAGCGUUGUUCGGAAUCACUGGGCGUAAAGCGUGCGUAGGCUGUUUCGUAAGUCGUGUGUGAAAGGCGCGGGCUCAACCCGCGGACGGCACAUGAUACUGCGAGACUAGAGUAAGGGAGGGGGAAACGGAACUCUCGGUGUAGCAGUGAAAUGCGUAGAUAUCGAGAGGAACACUCGUGGCGAAGGCGGGUUCCUGGACAUUAACUGACGCUGAGGCACGAAGGCCAGGGGAGCGAAAGGGAUUAGAUACCCUAGUAGUC